CCUCAUCUCAUUGAGUUAAAAACAUGAACACUGCAGUUAUUUCAUAUGAUCAAGGUUUUUGCCAGUUCUCCUCUGUUGCUGAUCACUAACAGGACACACAGCAGGUUGUUCAGAAUAAAAUGAACAACAAAAUGUUACAUUCUGGUUCAAAUACCUCAAAAACUUGCAGCGGUUUAGUGAAUCUGUGAGCAAAGAUGAAAGCCGUCAUUGGAUUCUUACUGAUGUCGCUCCAAGUCGCUCAUGCAGUGAAAACUUCCUGUGACGGCAGACAAAAUGGAGCUCAGUGUUUUGGAGUUUUGGGAGGAGCAGUAGACAUUCAGCUGAUGGACAACGUGUCAGAAAUACCCAGAUUCACUUGGAAAAUGAAUAACUCUUUGAUACUGAUUUGGAGGAAUAACAGCAUAGCUCUUAAAAAGGACGACAGAAUUCCCUUUUUUCCCAGUAAUGGAUCAGUCAGGAUCAAUGACCUGAGAAGGAAUGACAGCGGUGAAUAUAAACUUGAAAUGUUUGAUGUAAAUGGAAAAAGAACAGGAUGGAAAACUCUGCAACUAUUUACUAUAGCUCCUGUGUCCUCUGUCCAGCUGGUCACUGAGUGUUUGUCUCAGGGACAGAUGAAGGUGUCCUGUGUGUCUCAAGGUGACAGUCCUCAGUACAGCUGGGCUCUGGAUGGACACACACUGACAGACUCUGAGCUCUUCUCUAGAGAUAAUGAGACCAACAUCAUUGUUCUGAAACAAAACAUCUCAGGACAUCUGGUCUGCUCAGUCAGGAAUCUAGUCAGUAAUUCAUUUAAAGGGAUGAAAUUAACUGGCUGUGAGGUGAAAACUUCCUGUGACGGCAGACAAACUGGAGCUCAGUGUUUUGGAGUUUUGGGAGGAGCAGUAGACGUUCAGCUGGUGGACAACGUGUCAGAAAUACCCAUAUUCAAAUGGGAAAUGAAUAGCACUGUGAUACUAUAUUGGAGGAAUAACACAGUUAUUAGUCCAAAGAACGACAGAAUUCUGUUUUUUCCCAGUGAUGGAUCAGUCAGGAUCAAUGACCUGAGAAAGACUGACAGCAGUGAAUAUAAACUUGAAAUGAUUGAUGGAAAUGGAAAAAACACAGGAUGGAAAACUCUGCAACUAUUUGUUAUAGCUCCUGUGUCCUCUGUUCAGCUGGUCCCUGAGUGUUUGUCUCAGGGACACAUGAAGGUGUCCUGUGUGUCUCAAGGUGACAGUCCUCAGUACAGCUGGGCUCUGGAUGGACACACACUGACAGACUCUGAGCUCUUCUCUAGAAAUACUGAGACCAACAUCAUCGUUCUGAGACAAAACAUCUCAGGACAUCUGGUCUGCUCAGUCAGGAAUCUAGUCAGUAACUCCUCUAAAGGGAUGAAAUUAACUUACUGUGGUCCUUCCUCUUGGCUCAUUUUGGGAUUGCGUAGUAUUGCUGUGAUUCUUCCUUUAUUUGGCCUUUGUCUCUACUUCACUUGGAAGCAAAAGAAAUAUGAAAAAGCCAAACUCUCUGCCAUCCCACCCACAGUGGAGAAUCCAGAGGACUCUAUUCUGAUGGUUCAACUGAGCUCUGCACCUUAGAUGGAUGACAUUAUGACUUUAAUUUGUAAAAAUUCAACAUAAGCUCACAAACAUAAACAUGUAAAUAGUUCUGGGAUUGGCUGCCAUGUUUCAUGAGCGUUUUAUCGUGCAACAUUCCAAAGUGUCUUAUUUCAAUUAUGUUAAAGUGAAAGUUUUAGCUUAAUUCCUUUCUUGUGUUAUAUAUUGUCAACAUUCUGUCUCAGAGUUUUUUUUAAUGUAUUUUCCAAUUUAUUGUGCUUUCAAUGGAUUAGCUUUCAUCUAUUACUGAGUUGUACCAUGAGCUUCUUAUGACAUACAAUGGUGUGAAUAAGUGUUUGCCCCCUCCAUGAUUUCCUGUUUUUGUAUGUGUAUCACACUAAACUUAGACUAACUUACUUCUAAGGACGUCUUACAUGUGUUGGAACCACUGAAGUAAACAGUCGUAGUCAUACAAAACCAGCAGAGGAAAAUAUAAACUUCACAGAAAAGGCUCCAGCUAAAAUGUAAUAAAGGAACCUUGUAGCCUCAGAGAAAAUGGUUAACCACACCAAAACACAGGACAGCAGUUGAAACAUGAUUUUCUGCAUAUGAAAGAAUCUUGCAGGUUUUUUGAAGCAAUUUAUAAAGUGCAAACACUGGGCUCUGUGUAAUAGGCUUUGUACAGCUCUAGAUAUUUGACAAAGAUACGUUAUUAACAUCUGAAAGCAGCUGAGUGAAUGAACAGAAGCUGAACGUGAAGCAAACAUGGAAGUUGUUUUUGUUUUUCUUUUCUUUCAGCUUUGACUCUUUUUAAAUAUCAAAAGCAUCCGGAAAAAUAGCGAGUGUUUCACUGAACCUUGUUAUCUUUUCAGACAUAUUGGGGGACUUUCAUAAAACACAAAUAUCUUUUGUUCCUCCAAAUGGUGGUGAUGGCAUCCUGUUCACUCAGCUUCUCUCUUUUCUGCUGUAAUAUCGGGUAUUUUUAACUCAGCAACCUUUAGACGUCCAGUCAAGUCACAGUUUCAUCACAUGGUCAUUAUAUUUAAUACAGUGAAACUUCAGGUUGUUUUUUUUUAAGUUCUCCUGCUCCGGUAAAGUGACACUAAUUGAGAAAAUAUAAACUUUCUCUACAUGUCAAUACUUAAACUCCCACAAUUAACUAAGGAACCAAAAGGAUCCCAAGCCCCAAAUCUCUUGAUUGUAAACAUCCCUUUACUCUAAAAGAGGAAGAAAUCUACCUCAAAUUGCAGAAAUCACUCAUUCAGGACUAUCCCCAGUUAUUGUUCUCUCAUUCUCAAGUCUUUGUGACAACCAGUUGCAAGUGUUCGGUUUUUUCUUGCUUGCUUUGUACAUCAGAAAAAAAAAAUCCAACACUGUUUGGGCCUGAUUCAAUUUAUUGAUGUUACUGAUAAUGAAACUGUAUUGACAUCGUUAGUAAACACAUAAUUUUCAGAAUUUCAUUGCUUGAUUUCUGUAAAAUUAAGACAAAUAUUGAUUCCUGCAACCUGAAAGUUGAGGGUUGAACUUCAUCUUCCUCCACAUAUCAAAUCGCCACGAGCAAGGCACUAAACCCCAAAUUCACCAUCAGUGUAUCGUGUGUGAAUGGCUGUGAAUGCAAAAUUAUUGAAUAUAUUGACUCUACAAUAUAAGCACAAAUAAGAAAAACUAUUUAAUGAGAGAAUACAGAUUCUGCAUUUUAAGUUGUCUAAUCAGUUUUGGAGGAGUAAGGAAGUUUAUCAACAAUUGUUUAACAACACAGAGACUAAAUAUUUUAGUUUAAACUUAGAAAUAUUUAUUUGAAUAAUUUUUUUAAAUAAAUACAAUUUCAUACAGCAAAAUUUGACCAUUUCAAUCAAAGAAACUGAAAAACUGUAGCAAGAAGAUAUUUAUCAAAUGUUGAUUCGAAACUACUUAUAAUAUUGUUUGUGCCUUUUUAUUCAGUUGCAAUAACAAAAUUGCUUUUUCAGGUAAUGGACACACCCUUUAAGAAUUAUUUUAAUAUUCAUCACCUCUACUAUAUAGAAACCUGUUUAAAAAAUGUUUCUCAAAACCUGUUUGAACAUUUUCUUUUUCUUCUUCUCACUCCAACACACAAGCAAAGACUUGUUGUUGGUUAAAAGGGGAAGUAAGACUCAUAUCACUUCCUUUCCUCGUCUCAGUGAGUUAAAAACAUGAACACUGCAGUUAUUUCAUAUGAUCAAGGUUUUUGCCAGUUCUCCUCUGUUGCUGAUCACUAACAGGACACACAGCAGGUUGUUCAGAAUAAAAUGUAAAUGUUACAUUCUGGAUCAAAUACCUCAAAAUCUUGCAGCGGUUUAGUGAAUCUGUGAGCAAAGAUGAAAGCCGUCAUUGGAUUCUUACUGAUGUCGCUCCAAGUCGCUCAUGCAGUGAAAACUUCCUGUGACGGCAGACAAAAUGGAACUCAGUGUUUUGGAGUUUUGGGAGGAGCAGUAGACAUUCAGCUGAUGGACAACGUGUCAGAAAUACCCAGAUUCACUUGGAAAAUGAAUAACUCUUUGAUACUGAUUUGGAGGAAUAACAGCAUAGCUCUUAAAAAGGACAACAGAAUUCCCUUUUUUCCCAGUAAUGGAUCAGUCAGGAUCAAUGACCUGAGAAGGAAUGACAGUGAUGAAUAUAAACUUGAAAUGUUUGGUGGAGAUGGAAAAAGCACAGGAUGGAAAACUCUGCAACUAUUUGUUGAAGCUGCUGUGUCCUCUGUCCAGCUGGUCACUGAGUGUUUGUCUCAGGGACAGAUGAAGGUGUCCUGUGUGUCUCAAGGUGACAGUCCUCAGUACAGCUGGGCUCUGGAUGGACACAACCUGACAGACUCUGAGCUCUUCUCUAGAGAUAAUGAGACCAACAUCAUCGUUCUGAGACAAAACAUCUCAGGACAUCUGGUCUGCUCAGUCAGGAAUCUAGUCAGUAACUCCUCCAAAUGGAUGAACUUAAAUGACUGUGGCUUCAUUUUCAUUAACUGCACUUCCAAUGGGACACAAAUAGCUAAAUGGGUGUAUAAAGAAAAUAACACUCUGUGUGUUGAACCAACAACAGUCCCUCCAACAACUAAAUAUACUAUUGUGGGUAAGAAGACACAGUCAAAUACUUCUGCUAGAAGCCCUAGCGCCAAUCAUCAACCUUGGUACAUUACGCAGUUGCCUGUAAUGGGUGGUGUAUUAGCAGCACUCGUAAUUGUCUUGAUAGCCAGCAUAGUCUUCGUCUGUGUUCACAAGGAUAAGAAAAUCACAAAAGUAGAGAAGGAGAAUGAUGACCAGGAAAUGACCUAUGCUGACGUUAGGAUUGUGAAAAAGCAGGGGAGAAGAGUGGACAAAAGUGAGGAGGCUGAUGUGGAGUACGGCCAGGUCAAAUUUUCAAAGAAACCAAGAACAUCUCAAACUAACCCGACAAUGGAUGAUACUGUGUAUGCACAAGUACGAAGAGCCAGGUGAUUUGUAAUGUCUGACAGGCUUAUUUUUACACACUUACAAAGACAACGAUAUGAAAGGCUGAGAGAGAGAGAGAGAGAGAGAGAGAGAGAUGAUUUCCCUCAUCAUGAUGUGGGAAAUGUAAAGUGAAAAAAGCUUUUAUUGUAUAUAAUUUCCUCCUGAAAUUCAAGUCAUGGCCCAUUUAUGGAGAUUAAUACAGCUGUUCCGGCUUCAGCUCAAACCAUGGGCCAUUCACUGCAUGUCUAUAAAUUCUCCCUAUUCCUGUUUACUAUGAUGCUGAAUAAAAGAAAAUAGUGCCACAAAAUUGUUUAAAAUAUCAAGUUUUACAGCUAAGGUUUAUUGUGCUACUUAUUUUUUAGAAGUCCAUUUAUAAUUGAAGUUUUAACUUAUUAAAUGUGAUUCUUGCUUCUUGAUAAUGUAAAGUCAGAUUGGUGAGCAACACCAAAUAGCACUGGAAAAUAUUUCUUUUAAAUGUCUUUAAUUUAAAAGUGUUCUUCCUAAAUAUUUAUUGGACUUGAAAAGCUGAAAUGCUGUUACAAAAAGCUGCAUGUGAUGUUUGUCAAAUUAAAAUAUGUUUGAUGAAUACCA